UUUGGUAGUAAACAAAACUGUCGAAAAACAUGAGUUGGAACAUUAAAUGGGAAUUUCCUGAUGUUUAUAUAACCAUAAAUGGUGUAAGGUGUGUUGGCGACUCAGGGAAACCUAACACAAUAUAGAAGUGUGCUAGUGGAAACAGCAAAGAUGAAAUCUGGUUCAAAUUUGAGAAGAAAAGACUGGGAAACGGUUGAAGCGGAGUCUUAUAGAGAAGGGUAACGCAAAGUUUUCAUCUGCCAUCUCCAAUUCACAGUUCCUUGAAAUCUGUGAAAGAAUGAGGAUUCCCGUGCAAAGGAAGGGAAUAAAUAGUAAGUGUUACCAUAAUCAUUCAACAUUUUAUUUAACGUAAUGAUACAUCGACAUGCCUGAUUUCAUUCAGGACGUGAUCAAUCCAAUAAAUUAUUCUACCAGGUUAUUAAAAAUGCAUCGUCCAACAAGCAUAUUGGUUGAAUUGAUAUCCCCCGCGAAAUAAAUUUUGUUUAUGGCCAAAACAAUAUCCCUCCGCCUUUGGCGGAUGAAUCCGGGGGUAUAAUAACUCCAAUUUGCAGGGAAAUUACAUUGUGUUAUGUUGAAAAAAGCAUAAGCAAUUUAAUUUUUAUAUACAUUAUAAAGUAUAUGAAAUAGAAGUUAUGUGAAGUUGUAUCAUUGUGUGUUAUGUAUCUGAUUGUGUUUUUCUUAAAUGCAAGCUGUUCCUGCAUGUACAACUAUUAAUCAUGUUGACAAAGAGGUGGAACCAGUGCCAACACCUGUACCUGGCGCAGCCUGGAGUGAAAAUAUUUAUUUUUUAUGAUCACGAGUGAAUUAAAAUCGACAUUCUAUGGAAUCCAACAAAUUGUCUUUUUAUUUUAUGAUUUUUACACUGUUUAUUUACAUUGUAAAAGUGUUUAACUUGAUAAUUUUGCUGGAUUUAUGAUGUCAUUUCGCAGAAAAAAUAACUUCAUUUCACAGAAAAACAUUUAAAAUAUCUAUAAUUUUCACUGUUAUGUUUCACUUUUGAAAAUUGUGAAAUACCAGUUUUAUUUCACUGAUAUUCCUCAAUAAACCACCGGAAAGCAUGAAAAAAACUUCUUGAAAACAUAAGAGAUCAAUAUAUUUCAAUUAUUGUCCUCUUACACUUAGAAUAUGACUAUAUUACCUUGACCUUAUAUUGAAUAUGAACAAUUUCCCCAUGAUGGCUUACGUUAUACUGUCAAGCACUCGAAUAGUCGAGCGCGCUGUCUUCUGACAGCUCUUGUUUAUAAAAUUAUUUUUUUAACUCUGUUUAGUAUUUAUUUGUUAAUUAUUGGUAUUUGACUUUGUCAAUUCUAUUGCCACAUACUUUUGUCAUACUUAAUUAUUUUUUCGUUUAAAAAUAAUAGCCACAUAAAAAAAUUAUUGUUAGUAUUGUUUGUCAGCAUGAGGUCAAAUCUGUGCAUUGACAAUUAAAAAUACAUGUACACAAAAUAUGCUUUACAGCUUGUGUCUCCCAUGCUUUAUUUAGUUCACACUUGAAUCUAAAAGUUAUCUUUUGUAUAUGCAAACGUUUUACCUUAAUGUGUGCCGAAGUAUCGGCCUGGGAUUGUGUCAUAAUCAUCUUUAUAAGAGCAAAACAAAUUAUUAGCAAUCAAUUUGAAGUUUGCUUUGAGGCAAACUAAUAGUACACCCUUUGGCCUUUUCUAUACAAAAAGUGUAUACAUGCAACGAAAAGAUAUGACAAUAGAAUGGAAAUAGUAAAAAUUUAAAUAUGUCGCUUAUUAUUCGCUAUUAAGCAUCCUCAUAUCUUAACCUUUACAUUCUAUUAUCUAAAAUAUCUGAAAUACAAUUAGUAAGGUUUGGUAUAUCAUUUAUGAAUAAGAAACUCAAACAGGACAAUUGCAAAAACCACAUCUUAAUUUAUUGUGCUAAGUGUGUUAUGUAUUGAAAUGUACCGGUAACAUGUUUUUUCAUGGUUGAUUUGGAUUGCCUGACCGCUUCAAGUGAAGAAUUAUUGAUCCGGUGCACAGACACUACAUGGGUGAGGCAAAUAAAAGAGAGCAUGAGGUCUCAACCAUCAAGGCCUGUUACAAGAAUUCCGGUUCUUUGUGAAAGAGAGGGCAGAUGAAGCGCAGUAAAUGUGUUGGCCGUUCCAAGCGUGGGAAAAGAAAACCUGUUUUCACCAACGGGUUAACAUAUACUUACAGCGGUUCAACCCUAGCAAACAGACGACAGUUUGGCGUUGCAGCGUUCGCAACAAGACAUGGACAUGUCUAGCAUUAGUUGUGCACAACGGUUAGUCCUUCGUCCUAAACGAAUGUAAUCACUCCCAACAUACAAAACCAGGCUUACACAAGGGUAUCGUCAUCACCACCCAGUUUAACGCCGAGUCUGACAAAAUAGGUUUGAGUCAGCUGGAACCAUUGUGGAUAGAAUAUUUCGACAAGAAGUAGAUAACCGCCUUCCCGAGGCAUCCAAGCCUAAUUAUAUCAACCUUGUACGAAAAUGCAACAGACGACCCAACGCCUAAAAGAUCCCACCGACAUGAACUUUCAGCUUGACAUGGCAUUCACCAAUGAGAAGAUUUCGUCGUCUUUCUUCCGGGCCGAGGUCCACAACAGCGACAGACGACACCUCAGAUUCGCCACUGACCUGCUGGCUGCAUCUGUUGAAGAAAGCAAAAACCUGGUACAUGGACGGGACGUUCAAGGUCGUCACACAGCCGUUUUAUCAGUUGCUGUCUAUUUAUUCGUUUGUCAGGUUUUAAAAGGCAUCAUGGACAUCGUCCAUAACGAAUUUAAAGUGAAGGAGUUCGUGGUAGAUUUUGAAGCCGGUAUGUGACGGGACAUUCGGGACGUGUUCAUGAAUCAGGCUCAAUCAACAACAGACGAAACCUUGACCGACCUGCUUGCGUAUUUCGACACGGCUUUCAAUCUUCGGUGUAUGGAUCAGCAAAUAGGAGCGUGUUCGAUAGGAGUGUAAGAACCAAUAGCGACUGCGAUCGAUGGCACUUAAAAAUAAACCAGCAGGCAAAAUAUUAUUGCCAUUUCACUUGUUGCUGGUGCUUCUAUAUGAAGAGGCAUCUCUUUUACCCACUUAGGUAAAAAUGAUAGCCGAAGGAAAAUUUUGCAGGCGACAGCGCAAGAAGGCAGACUCUUCAAGUUUGGGAAGCGUACGAGAGGGGAGAAUUAUCUGUAUAUGGCCUGCUGAGGAAGUGCAGUGGAAUUUAAGGACCAAAUGCCCGUGUUGUCAAUAUUUGAAUUUAUAAAUUGCAUGAAGUGUUAGAAAUCAUUGCUGAUUUGAAUUUUUUUCUCAUUAUUGGAAAUGUUUGAAAUUAUUGAUAAUAUUAAGCGUUGUAUUUGGAAUGCUUGCUCUGUACAGCCGUUGUGUUUGAAAUCGAAUGACGUGUAAGAAAUUAUUGCUCUUUAUAACAUGUGUGUUGGUAAUGCUGUAUCAUUGUAAUUAAUGUUUCAAAUGAAUGACAAUAUUUAGCCUUGUCUAUGCAAUGCUUGCUUUUUAUAACCAUAGUGUUUAAAAUCAUUAAAAUGAUUUCCCUGAAAAGCAUUGUUUUCAUAAAUGUUUUUAUUUGUUUCAUUUAACAUGCAAUUAUU